rnacentral:rRNA from 1 species
CCUACGGGUGGCAGCAGUGGGGAAUAUUGGGCAAUGGGCGCAAGCCUGACCCAGCAACGCCGCGUGAAGGAAGAAGGCUUUCGGGUUGUAAACUUCUUUUCUCAGGGACGAAGAAAGUGACGGUACCUGAGGAAUAAGCCACGGCUAACUACGUGCUAGCAGCCGCGGUAAUACGUAGGUGGCAAGCGUUAUCCGGAUUUACUGGGUGUAAAGGGCGUGUAGGCGGGAAAGCAAGUCAGAUGUGAAAACCAUGGGCUCAACCUGUGGCCUGCAUUUGAAACUGUUUUUCUUGAGUACUGGAGAGGCAGACGGAAUUCCUCGUGUAGCGGUGAAAUGCGUAGAGAUGAGGAGGAACACCAGUGGCGAAGGCGGUCUGCUGGACAGCAACUGACGCUGAGGCGCGAAAGCGUGGGGAGCAAACAGGAUUAGAUACCCGGGUAGUC